rfam:Oryza rufipogon genomic scaffold, chr07
GAUAUCAACUGAAAAAGUCAUCAACAACAAAGUUGAAUAACUCAUCAGGAUAUAAAACUUUUAUUUUGGUCAUUUCUUCAUACGACAAAGUGAUAGUAACAUUGUUCACAAAAGUGACAUAUCUCUUAUCUGGUUUUAUAAACUAUAACACAUAUAUGUAAAAUUUAUGAAUAAUAUUACUAACAUUUCGUCAGAUGAAGAAAUAACAAAAAUAAAAGUUUUAGAUCUUGAUGAGUUAUUCAACUUUGUUGUUGAUGACUUUUUCAAUUGAAAUC